AUGAGCUUUACUAAAUUGCUUGUUAAUAAGUAAUGUGAUAAUCGAAGGAACAUUAACUCCAAAAUGAAGUUAAAGCCAAGUUUUAAAUCUUGGUCUUGUAUAAAAAAAUAAUAAAAAAUCGUCUCAACAUUUUUUGUCUUUUACACUCUCCACAGCUAUAAGUAGAUAACCCAAUGUGAGUUAGUUUAUUCACAAUCUAAUUAAGUAAUAAAUUUCUAAGUGAAAAUUGUACGUAAGAAGUGAUAAUCAUGAACAAGACACACUAUGGAUUUUUCUUCUUCCUACUUCUUAUUGCUUCUCAAAUGAUGGUAAAAAGUGAGGAAUGGAAAUGUAGGACACGGAGCACUAAGUUUAAAGGGGAAUGUUAUAAUAGAAGUCGUAUUUGUAAUUCAACUUGUCAUGAUGAAGGUUUUCCGCUUGGUGGUGAAUGCAUUGGAUGCAUGAGCUGUGUUCAUGGGAGUGCCACACUUAAAAGUUGUUUCUGCAAAAAUAGUAGUUGUGAAUAGUUUGGGUCAUGAGCAUGUUAGUGCUCGAGUAAAGAUCUUUUUCAUUUUUCAAAUGAUUGGAAGUCUUAAUUACAAUAAUUUUAACGUAUAAAUGUCUGAUUAUGCCACACUUAUCGAAAUGUGUGCAUAAUUUUUCUUUUA